GCUGGUUUACCGUUCAAAAAAAGGCGUAACUGAUGCUGAGAUCGUUGUUGUUCUUGUUCCGAGAGAACUGAUGUCACCGUUGUUGCUGUUGGUUCUGAAUCCUGUUACAUUGAUUCUGAGCUAUGUUUGCUUUUGAUUCUUAUCCAAUUCGAAUCCUUGUCUUGCUGCAACCAUCGUCACUGCCAUAAGAGAUUGACAAUGCUGUUGCUUCGGUUGCGUGUUUACUGCUGCCAUAAAAAUUAAAAGAGAAGGGAGUUACCACGUUUAGUCUAUGUGAAUUCAACUAAUCGAGCUUUACCUUUUCAGGAACCGGAUGAAGAAGCAUUAAGAAGAAUUGUACUGCGUUUGGUUUAUAUGUUGUUAUAUUAAUUAGUUUAUUUUCUUUCCUCGUCUUUGUUAUUACAAAUUUGUAAGAGGGAUAGGAAUUGUAUGUUUUAUUUGUAUAUACUAUUAUGAGUUAGUAUAUAAAGAGUCUUGUAUAUGAAUCUAUGCUUGCUUGUAUUUUUCUUAAGAUUAGGUUUUAAUUUCCAGUUUUCAAAGAAAUCAACGAUACAGUGUCGAGUCACAGGCUCCUAUUUUAGUAUUUAGUAUGUAAAGUAGUUGUAAUACUUCUUGCUAUCAGAAUAGCGCAGCCAGAAGCGUGACUUUUGAUAGUGAGGGUGUUACAGCUUCUAUGAUAUCUUCUUCUUCUGAAUCAUCGAAUAAACACUCAUCGAUCCAA